UACGUAGACCUCAAGCGUUAUCCGGAUUUAUUGGGCGUAAAGCGCGUGUAGGAGGUUUCGCGCGUCUUCUGUUAAAGCCCACCGCCCAACGGUGGAAGUGCAGGAGAUACGGCGGGACUAGAGGAGGUUAGAGGUGCAUGGAACUCACGGUGUAGGGGUGAAAUCCGUUGAUAUCGUGGGGAACACCGAAGGCGAAGGCAAUGCACUGGGACCUUCCUGACUCUGAGACGCGAAAGCGUGGGGAGCAAAAAGGAUUAGAUACCCUUGUAGUCCACGCCCUAAACGAUGCCUGUUUGCUGUUUCGAGUAUCGACCCUCGGAGUGGCGUAGCUAACGCGUUAAACAGGCCGCCUGGGAGGUACGAGCGCAAGCUUAAAACUCAAAGGAAUAGACGGGGACUCGCACAAGCGGUGGAACAUGUGGUUUAAUUCGUCAGCAAGCGAGGAACCUUACCAGGGUUAGAAAUCUAAGAUGACAGGCGAUGGAAACAUUGCCCUUCUCACAAGGACAUCUUGGACAGGUGCUGCAUGGUUGUCGUCAGCUCGUGCUUUGAAGUGUUCCCUUAAGUGGGGUAACGAGCGCAACCCCUACUACGCGUUACAAGUGUCGCGUGGAACUGCCCCCGCUCAAGGAAAAGAGGAUGGAUAUAGUGUAGAAUUCCAUUUUCGUUUCUUUUAGCGGGGGAGGAAGGAGGGGAUGACGUCAAAUCAGCAUGGCCCUUUGAUACCCUGGGCUACACACGUGUUACAAUGGCAGCGACAAUGGGUCGCCAACCCGUAAGGGGGAGCUAAUCCCAUCAAACGUUGCCUCAGUUCGGAUUGAGGGCUGCAACCUGCCCUCAUGAAGCCGGAAUCGCUAGUAAUCGCAGAUCAGCCACGCUGCGGUGAAUACGUUCUCGAGUCC
rnacentral:rRNA from 1 species